UCUUCGAUAGCUCAGUUGGCAGAGUGUGCGCUGUAAUGGCUGCACCUCCUGGUUCGAACCCAGGUCAAAGUU